GCGCGUAUAGCUCAGUGGUUAGAGCAUCCGUUUCACAUGCGGAAGGUCGUUGGUUCGGAUCCAACUACGCGCA
rnacentral:tRNA from 1 species